CAGUACAGCACCCGCAGGUAAGCAACCUCUGUCUGUCAGGAAGCACCACUCGCAUAUUGAGGCUGAAGGGUGGAGAAGCUUCUUCCGUAUCCAUGAUAGGCUUUGAAGAGAAGAGGAAGGUGGAGCUCUGGAACUAGUUGAGCUGAUUGUCCUUAUCCUUUCCAGAUGCAGAUAAAAGCUCAAGCUCUUACAUACUCUUGGGUGGCCA